rnacentral:rRNA from 2 species
UGGGGAAUAUUGGGCAAUGGGGGCAACCCUGACCCAGCAACGCCGCGUGAAGGAAGAAGGCUUUCGGGUUGUAAACUUCUUUGACGAGGGACGAAGAAAUGACGGUACCUCGAAAACAAGCCACGGCUAACUACGUGCCAGCAGCCGCGGUAAUACGUAGGUGGCAAGCGUUGUCCGGAUUUACUGGGUGUAAAGGGCGUGUAGGCGGGCUGUCAAGUCAGAUGUGAAAUCUAUGGGCUUAACCCAUAACGUGCAUUUGAAACUGAUAGUCUUGAGUGAUGGAGAGGCAGGCGGAAUUCCUAGUGUAGCGGUGAAAUGCGUAGAUAUUAGGAGGAACACCAGUGGCGAAGGCGGGUCUCUGGGCCGUUACUGACGCUGAGGAGCGAAAGCAUGGGGAGCGAACAGG